CCCCACCCAUCCACCACCAGCCUUGCCUGCUCAGUCACCCACCACCCACCCUCGUGCGCUCUUACCGUCAGCCGCAGCCUCUCCCGUGCUCUCUCUCUCUCCCCAACUCUCCCCCUCCCCUCUCUCCCCAACUCUCCCCCUCCCCUCUCUCUCCCCCUCCCCUCUCUCCCCCGACCACCACCACCAACCCGUCCGCGUUCACGGACUCAUCGCACGCGCGUUGACGUCAGAAGGGGACCGACCACGGUGCCGAGGUGCCCACCGAUGUCUGCACGGCACGCUGAGCGCUCUUUCGCGAACGUACGUAGCCAACCGCGCCAAUCGGAGGUUGGCGCGUGGGUAAGGACAACAAACUAAACACACAGCGAAGAGCAAGCUCUCAAGAAAUGCGCUUUCAAUGUAGAUGCGUAGCCCCCGGUGGCUUCCUCGUAUCGGAAGAGCGUUCCAGACGGCCGCAGGAGCGAUAGCGGUGACCGCACUGCCUCCUGUUUGAUUGUCGAGCCAGAAGCCGCUGCCGCUGCUUCGAGAAUGAGCGGAGUUCACGCGAUGGUGGUUCCUGCUCUUGGGCGAGAUCAUCAGCGAGACGCUGACGUCAGUGUGUGGGCGGGCCUGACUCACGCGAGCCGCCGCGCAGCAUCCUAACUGCGCCCGAGUCAAGCGGUUCACGCGCGGCGGGGAGACAAAGGCGGUCGGGAGGAGGGAGGGCGGUGGUGGCGAGCGGGGGGGGGACGCAAGCAGCAC